GCCACGUGCCUUGCUGAAUCUAAUAUAUCCAGCUCCAAUUAUUUUUGCCACAUGUCCCUGAUGGCUGCUUUCCCUAUUUCUUAGAUAUAGUCAAAGCAAGAGCUUGGUGUACGACUUCCUCACAUUCCCUGACCUUUGAACUGAUGGGAAGCCAUACCUCUCCUCUCACACCAAAGCACUCUGAAGGCUGCUAUGAAGUCCAAGUCCUCCCACAGUCUGUAAUUACAAAGCCAGGAAGGAUGACUCUGACUAACAGUAGGUAGUCUGUGAAGAGACCUGAUAUGUUAUUAGAGCUGCGAGCCGUGAGACUUUUGGAACAAAAUGCAGGUGUGGUCUAAAGGGCAGUAACUCAAUCUUUUCCAUCCAGAUAUAGGUAAAGAAAGUGGUAUCAUUUGGAAGCUAUGCUGGAUUUCUCACAGGAAACAAUGUCCUGAUUUCCCUGAGGACGUACACUGUAGGUAGAUACCUGUCCUGUCCCUGUGCUUCAGUACACACAGGUUUUGAUAAAGUCUCUAUCCAGGACAGAGCCUGGUGAGGAUCCAAAUUUCCAAGGAAGGCAGAUGCCUGCUGGCAGAACUGGUACAUCCUGGUACUAAAGCAUUUACACUAGCAAUAGUAACAAAUCCAUCCUGAAAUGCAUCAGGUGGGUUUGAUAGGAUGUGGUAACCUCAGCAUCCUUCUGGCCCCACAGCUUGAAAAAAGAUUUGCAACCCUUUGGAUGCCUGUGCAGUAGUUAAAGACUCAGCAGCUGGGUAGGUGCCAGUCUCCAGCAGGGACACAAAAUGACUGCUUGCUUUAUUAUCAAAUUUCAGUCCUUAUCCCUCUCUAUGGUAAAAUGCUGGAGGAAAAGAAGUAAGAAAACGGAUCUUUGAUUAAAUUCUUGUAUCCAUUCCUGUCUUAGCCUGCUAUAGCCAGAAUACAGAUUACUGUGAAUGCCCUUCAAAAACAUGCCCUAUCCAUUACCUGGAGAGAAUUUGUCAUCCAACUUGGAAUAGUUGUCACCAUUUCAAUAAGUCCCUUUAUGUUAUGCCCAUGACAGACCUUGACCUCUUUUUUACUUCCUUUUUCAUCCCUGUGGAAAUUGUUUUGACUCUUUUUUUUUUUUUUUUUCUUGGUGAUUCAUGGAUCGGAGUCUCCUUCCUAAAGUUGUUUGGCUGAAAAUUAAGAAGCAGUGAAAUUCCAGUUCAUUAGCCUGGAUAUGAUUAUGCAAACUCCUCUAUUCUUCUACCUUUGCCCUGUCUUCCUAAAAAAUGUUACUGUUCCCUUCUCAGUUUAGAAAAACUUCUCUUCCCCUCAACACACAUGGGCAGACACAUAACAUUCACUCUCCCAGAAGAGCUUUAUGCCAUGAAGUCCUCUGCCUGUAUUGUUUUGAACUCCUGACUUUGUGGCAGUAACUUUAUGGCAGAUCCUCUCAAACAGUCUCAUAUUCUUCAGGUUUAACAAAGCAGGCAUCUGUUAUUCUUUUACUAACCAUGGGAUAAAGGUCAGCUCUAAAUGCCUCAUCAUGUUUUCUAACUACUGACGUGAGACACUUGUGCACAAUUCCAGUUGGCAAGAUCUGUCAGCAGAUAAGAUGAUAUAAAUCUGUGCAUAUUGCAAUUAUUCCCCUAAAAUAUCAUUGCCUAAAGCCUGAGUGGGAGGAAGUCAAGGUAUCAAUACUAGCUACUGUUUUCCACAAUGGAAGACUUGGAUAAGCUCAUCAAUUUAGUUAUUUUAAUUAUAUUUUAAUUUAUAAAUCAGAAGUGUCUUUGAAUACACACUGAAUACACUAGACUCAAGUAACCUGUCAUUACGUGUUCCUGGUGAUAGUGCAGCCUUCCUUAGUACUUUAUUUUUCCAUGAUACAAAUGGCAGUUCCUUGAGAGAAGUAAUAUACUUUAAAUGCCCUGACUACCUGGGGCCUUCACUCGGAGCUGCAGCCCAUUGUCAGGGCUCAUCUUCAGCUCAUGCCUGGGAAACCUGCUCUCCUGUGAGCUGUGAUGUAUGUUGUGAUCUUGUCUCCUGGGUGGAUUCAAACCUAUGUUUAAUGUCGAUUGUCUUCUGUGCUGCUUUCUGGAUAGACUUCAGUCCUACUUUUGAGGAACAAUAGCAGAAAACAAGUUUCCAACAGUAAACCCUAGGGAAGCUGCUUGAAUUCCUCAUUAAGUCCACAAGCAAUUUGUUGGGUAAAUAAACCUAAGGACACAGAGCUGGAGUGUCCACUGAGCAAAAGGGUAUGAAAAGCACCUGAAACCAGAUCCUAUCAUUGGAGCUGUGGCCCUCUCACUGUGUUCCUAGAUGUCUCAGCAACAGAAGUGACUGAUAGAGGACAACAAAGUGCCUCUCUCUCCCACUGCUUCUGGAGAAGGCCAUGGACAGCCUUAACUUACAGACAACAUCUGGGAUGUGGUGGGGCAGGUGCCUGAUGGACAACCCCUCCCAGCUCUGUUGAUGGUGCA